ACUAGAGUAGCACUCGCAUAUCAAUAAGCGGAGGAAAAGAAACUAACAAGGAUUCCCCUAGUAACGGCGAGUGAAGCGGGAAGAGCUCGAAUUUGAAAUCUUAAAGGGUUUCCCUUUACGAAUUGUAGUUUAAAGAAGUGUUUUCUGUUGAGGUUUUGGUAAAAGUUCUUUGGAAUAGGACAUCAUAGAGGGUGAGAAUCCCGUAUUUGACCUUUACUUUCAACUUUGUGAUACACUUUCAAAGAGUCGGAUUGUUUGGGAAUGCAGUCCAAAAUGGGUGGUAAAUUUCAUCUAAAGCUAAAUAUUAGGCGAGAGACCGAUAGCGAACAAGUACCGUGAGGGAAAGAUGAAAAGAACUUUGAAAAGAGAGUUAAACAGUACGUGAAAUUGUCAAAAGGGAAGCGUUUGACACCAGUGUUGUUUUUUCUGAAAAUCAAUUAAAGAACUGUUUAUGCUAAGCUUGUUUAGACUUUAUCAGCUAAUCUGUUUAGUUUUGAGCUUUUCUUUAAUGCACUUUUCAGUUAACAAGUCAACAUCAAUUUCUUUUGCUGUAAAAAAGCUUGAGGAAGGUGGCUUGAGAUUCGUCUUAAGUGUUUAUAGCCUCUUGCCUAUGCAGUCGGAGAGAUUGAGGUCUGCAGCGUAGAUCCUUCGGGGCUAAAGUGCAUUUGUGCUAAGUUAUAGCAUUUUAUAGACAACUUGUUGACUAUGAUUUGUCUUGUAGCUUACUCGCUUAUGUUAUUUUACCUACGCUUAGGAUGUUGAACUCUAUCACACACAG
rnacentral:rRNA from 1 species